UCUGGAAAAGAAAGCAAAAAAGACUCAGUUUUGAAAUGUGCCUUCCAUGUUAAAGGUAUUUUUAAAGUUUAAUUCCAGUGUAAUUAACACACUGUAUUACAUUAUUUUCAGGUGUAAAAUACAGUGAUUCAAGAAUUCCAUCUACAACUCAGCGUUCAUCAAGACAGGAUUGCGAAUAACAUAAAUUACUUUUUUGGGCAAGCUUCAUGUCACAGGUGCCAGAGACUUUCAGCCAGAAGGCCAGUUAAAUUCUUAACAACGUAGAACUUAGAUUGGAAGUUCAUGUCUAAAUGAGAAAAACCUGUUUUCAGUAACAUGGAACAGUCCCUGAAAUUUGAGAUGACAGAAUUCUUUUGAAGCUGACGAAGAAAAGAAACAUAUUGAAACAUUGAAAACAGUCAGUCUUGCAACACGUUCGACAAGGAACUGUAAGCAUGAUUUUGAAAGAGAAGAUUCUGGGACAUAACUAGGUUUUUCCAGUUUAUCCAAGGAGAAGUGAGGAGAAGAAAGGCACAACCUGAAACAGUUCAGCGGAAGACAGAGUGAACUGGCCAGUAAAAACCACAGUGAUCAGGUGGCUGAAAAGGUUUUAAGGACAAAGAUGUCAAAGGUUUAAUUGAAGCUGUAUGUUUUACAAUGAUGAAACCUUCUCUAAUCAUCCAAGUCUUAUAAAGAUUGCAUUACACUGUCUGUUGAGGGGAUGGGAGGAGUUGUUGGAAAUUGGGGAAGUGGCUAAUUUUCUGGUCCAGUUUGAUCCAGAAUGAAAAAAAAAGAGCCCAGGCAGAAUAGCAAGUCAAUAAAUUAACUGCAGACGCUGAAGCCUGCCAUCAAAUUUGACCAAGAGAAUGCUAGCCAUCUGUGAAUUUGAAGAAAUCUUGGGGAAGGCUUUGGGUUUUCUCUGCACAUGGAAUGUAGGGCUCAUCAUAACCACCAAUAUUUUAAUGUUUAACAAAACCUGUGUUUAUCUGUUUUCUGCCUCAGCUAUAGGUGAAGUUUCCAAAUUACGCUUUGUCUGAGGGCUCUGGCCUUCCAUCUCUGAAAACCUUUGUAUGUGAGCAUUUAUCUCACCUUUUAAAUCCUAGCUCAAAUGUCAAUUUUCCCAUAAAGCCUUUCCUGAUUUCCCCAACCAAAAUUAAUGUUUCUUCUAAAUAUCCACAGAACCGUGCUUAUAUAUCUUCUGUAGUUUUAAAUCAUAUGUACUUGACUUGUGAUUUCUGAGCGCACUGAAUCUUACCUAUUAAUAGUAUAUUUUUUGAAAAAAGAAACAUUUACUUCUGUUCCCCAUGAUAACUUCUAUACAUUAUGUGCUCAUUAAUUUUUUUCUAACUCUAGGACUGAACAGUCCAUCUUAAAGUAUGUUAAGGUCUUUUUGUUGUUAUAUAUUUUAUAUUUUUCUUUCCAAAUUGUACAUUUACUAUCAGUGAUCCAGACCUGCUCUGGAAGUGCUCAUUAGUAAGGGACAGAUGCCUAAAGUCAGGGAAAAGUGCCAAUCGUCAUCACCAUCGAUGAGAAAUGGGUACCAGUAUGUGUCUGUCAUGGGUAUGAGUGGGAGCUCAUGACAUGGAGUAUUAAAAGAAGUUGAAGAGAGGAAGAAAGAAAAAUGCUACCUCGUCUUCAAAAAGGUAGACAGGGAAAACUGAAAAGUAGAUAAAUUACAUGUAUAAACAUAUGGCCCUUCUUGUAGAAUUACACUUAUUUUUUCUAUUAAAUCUUCUCACAAUAAGACACAUUAA